rnacentral:rRNA from 1 species
UAGGGAAUCUUCGGCAAUGGGGGGAACCCUGACCGAGCAACGCCGCGUGAGUGAAGAAGGUUUUCGGAUCGUAAAGCUCUGUUGUUAAGGAAGAACGAGUGUGAGAAUGGAAAGUUCAUGCUGUGACGGUACUUAACCAGAAAGGGACGGCUAACUACGUGCCAGCAGCCGCGGUAAUACGUAGGUCCCGAGCGUUGUCCGGAUUUAUUGGGCGUAAAGCGAGCGCAGGCGGUUAGAAAAGUCUGAAGUGAAAGGCAGUGGCUCAACCAUUGUAGGCUUUGGAAACUGUUUAACUUGAGUGCAGAAGGGGAGAGUGGAAUUCCAUGUGUAGCGGUGAAAUGCGUAGAUAUAUGGAGGAACACCGGUGGCGAAAGCGGCUCUCUGGUCUGUAACUGACGCUGAAGCUCGAAGGUGCGGGUAUCGAACAGG